rnacentral:rRNA from 1 species
CCUUGAUCUCAAAUCAGGCAGGAUGACCCGCUGAAUUUAAGCAUAUCAGUAAGCGGAGGAAAAGAAACUAACCAGGAUUCCCUUAGUAACGGCGAGUGAAGCGGGAACAGCCCAAUCUGAAAAGCUGGCCGGCCCCGGCGCCGGACCCGCNUUGUAGGUUGAUGAAGCGUUGCCUAGCAGCAGACCUUUCGGCCAAAGUCUCUUGGAACAGAGCGUCAUAGAGGGUGAAAACCCCGUGUGUGGCCGGACGACAUAACAGUCUGUUGCGCCGAUGGUGCGUUUUCUUAGAGUCGGAAUGUUUGGGAUUGCAUUCCAAAGCGGGUGGUAAACUCCAUCUAAGGCUAAAUACUGGCGAGAGACCGAUAGCGAACAAGUACCGUGAGGGAAAGUUGAAAAGCACUCUGGAGAGAGAGUCAAACAGUACGUGAAAUUGCUAGCAGGGAAACGUUGGGCACCAGUACGCGGCGAUCAAUGUCGAUGAUCAGCCGGCCGGUGCGGCGGCGAUUGCGCGGUGCAUCCGCUUCGGGGACGGCCCUAGGGUCGCCCACGCGCAGUCGCUAGCUGUUCGGGCCGGUGCACUCUUCGACAGCCGGGUCAACAUCGGUUGCCGGCGUCCGACAAGCAACCGGGCAAGGUAGCAGCCGGACAGUCCUUGCGGCUGUUCAGCUGAACUUAUAGGCCUGGUGAGCGAGGACGGCGGCGACCGAGGAGGCAUCGCGGUGCGCGCAUCCCCCGGGGUGCAGGGCGCACCNNCGCGGUUGAGGUUGCCCGUGGCGCUGGACAGCUUGCUGACCAGGGUUCAUUUUAGCACGCUUCGGCGUGUUAGCGGCGGCCGCUGCGCCGGUGCAAAGCCACUAGCGCGCCCAUGACGGUUGACGAAAUGGUUCUCAACGACCCGUCUUGAAACACGGACCAAG